UGUGAUGCUGUGUGGUUUCUGUCACGUACACACACACAGGCACACUCAUGCACACACCCCCUACCUCCCUGCCUACAUUCCACCCAGCCUGACUGCUCUGGAAGGAAGAAUCCCUGCAAGGUGAGUGUUAUUAUAUCCAUUUGUGGACCAGGACUGCGGCUCAGAAGCUUUUCCCAGGACACUGAACUCUGACAGGUGAAUAGCUGCCAAGUGGUGGAGGUUGGCCUGCAGUGAGCAUCAGUCUGACUUCGAAGGUUUGCAAAACGCUGAGCAUAUUUUUUUGUGGUCUCAGUAUUCAGAGCUCAAAGUACAUCAGGUGAAGAACCUGGAAUCUACAAGUUCAAGAGGCAUGGGGAGCACCUUGGGUCUUGUUUUAUCACCUAGGCUGGAAUGCAGUGGAACCUGCUUAGCUCACUGUAGCCUUGAACUGCUGGGCUCAAGCAGUCCUCCUGUUUUGGCCUCUGAAGCAACUGGGACUACAGGACAGAAUGACACAUGGUACAAGCUUUCUGUCUUACUGCCACACGUCAGUGUCCUGGGAGAUGAACCAGAUGCAGGUGAUGCCGAAGAGGUGACGGGGCCAGGGCUGGGGCAUGAGCACUGGUCAACACUGACACUCAACAGCUCCCAUCUGGCUUGUGUGUGAGCACCCGAGUGUAGCUCAAGGCAGGGACAAUAUUUGCUGGAAGUUUAGGUGUUCCCUAGGCGUCCUAGCUAGGCAGAGGAGGGAAUGAAGAUAGGUUUUGCAAGUAGAAAUAAAAAAGAAGCACUAUUAUAGCAUGAUAACAUUUCCUAAAGUCAUUUUAUGAACCAUUUUUGGUUAAUUAAAAAAAAAAAAAGCCGAUCUAUAUGUCAUGGCUGAGACAUUGAUUAGCAAGGUGCUACUUUUACAGAUGAAAGAACUAAAAACAAGAAAGACAAUGAUUCGCGCACAGUGAUUUGCUGGAGAUUGAUUGGCAAGUGUGAGCCAGACCUGGAGUAGAAUUCAACAUGUCUGGUGCCUGCUCCAGAACUCUGACAAUGAAAAGGAGUCCAGAUUUUGAGAAUGAAGAAGGUUUCAAAAGCUAAGCCAGCUUCCCUUUCACAGAGGUUCAGCUGGUCAGGCUUCUUUCAAAUCCACGCCCUGUUACGGGAGAGCACGGUGCUAGGAGCGUGUGGGAGGGGCAGCCCUGAGCCAACACUCCCUCUAGAAAAACAUCCUAAGGCCAUAUCAUGGUGACAACGGGACAGGAUUAUUAUAUUCCUAUUGGAAGGAUCACACUGUUAUGUUAUCAUUUCCUUUAGGAAAUACCCACAUCCCCAAACUACUUAGUGAUUAUGAGUCCCUACAGAACAAACAACCCUCACCUUAGACCAAAGAAAUAUGUCUCUCAGUCAAACAAAUGUACGUAGAAUCAGUGAGCGCAAAGCCCUACCUCAAAUAAGUUCAGAAGCCCCUCAAAAUGAGGUCCCGUGAUAGAGUUUCAGUAACUCUAAUGUCCCUAGUUGAGCUAACCAUCUGGCAUGGCAAACUCAUGGGCCAGUGAAUACUCGGUACUUUGCAGAUUCACAGUUUUUGUCUCUGCUUCUAUCCGACCAUACCUCUGCCCAGCUCCCUGCAAUCUGCCUGCUCUUUUGGUCAUUGAAUGACAGCGUAUCCCAGAGUGACUUUUGGGAGCUAUUUUUGAGCUUACCCAUAUUUGUAGUUCCCCAACUCACCGGGAAUGGAGGCUGGGUGAGUAGCAGAGGAACGUGCCUAGAUGUGACAAAAGAGUGGGGUAGAUGUAUUAAAUGAAUAUUCAAUGAGAACCCACUGUACGCCAAGCCCUUUUCUAGUCCAGGAAACUCAGCAAUGAGCAAAGUCAUAAAAAUCCCUUCUCUCAUAGAAUUUACAAUUUGGGAUGUGUGUGUGUGUGUGUGUGUGUGUGUGUGUGUGUGUAUGUGUGUGUAUGACACAUACACACAUUAGGGACAGGGUGGGUAAGAUAUAAUGACUAAAAUGUGUGGAAAACUUCAUAUGGUAUAUUAAAAGAAAAUAAAAGUCCAGGCACGGUGGCUCACGCCUGUAAUCCCAGCACUUUGGGAGGCUGAGGCAGGUGGAUCACCUGAGGCCAGGAGUUUGAGACCAGCAUGGCCAACAUGAUGAAACUCUGUCUCUACUAAAAAUACAAAAAUUAGCCAGGGAUGGUGGCGCAUGCCUGUAAUUCCAGCUACUUGGGAGACUGAGGUAGGAGCAUCGCUUGAACCUGGGAGGCGGAGGUUGUGGUGGGCCGAGAUUGCGCCACUGCACUCCAGCCUGAGCAAUAGAGAGAGACUCCAUCUCAAAAAUAAAUAAAAUAAAAUAAAAUAAAGUAAGUACUAUGGGGUGAAACUAGGAAAAGGGGAUAGGAGGCUUUGAGGUGGAAGGUGAUAGCUGUAAUUUAAAUAAAGUGAUAAAACUCAGUGAGAAGGUUACAUUUGAGUAAAAACUUGAAGAAAAAGUAACAAGCCGUAAGGUCAUAUGGGGAAGAGCAUUCCAGCCCCCAAAACAGCAAGUGCAGAAGCUCUAGCUAGGGCCACCCUGAUGCCCAUUUUCAGGGUGUGCUAUUCUCAUGGUACCCUAUGUAGGUGGUGUCCACUGGGAUUGUGUUAUGAACAAUGUGCAUUGGAAAACAUGGCAGACCCGUCAUAAAGCAGGAACAGCAAGGAGGCCUGGAAGGGUAGGGGGAGGCCAGAGAGAAAAUGGAGGGCCAGGUAUUUUCAGGCUCUUUCAACUAGCUCUGCUGGAAAGCUAGCUUACUGUCCAGGGAAUUUUUAGACAGUCCCUUUGCCCAUGUCUGCUGAUACCACAUGCCCUAAAAGCAGGUAGGCUGUGUCUAGCCUUCUUGGGUUUGAUAGUUGAUAAGUGAGCUCCAUGAGGGAGAUGUACAACUGAUGUGUCUUUGCAUGGCGGUUUUUUCAAUUCUCUAGCUCCCUGAUGAAUGUGGGAAUAAAAAUUUAUAUCAGAAUCGACACUGGUUAUAAUGUGAAUUUAUGACAUUACUUGAGAAUAUUCAAUUCUGCUGUAGAGGACAAAAAAAAUGGAAUAAUGAAAUCCAUCAUAAACCCUGGGCAUAGUUGGUAAGUAAGCAGGUACCUUAUGCGAUAUAGGCAAAACUUAUAGGAUGUAUUAAGUAUAGAUAGAGAGUAAUGUAGUAUAUACUGAGGCAUGUUAAAGAUAAACAGAAUGCAUGAAAUAUAUGCUGGAACAAGGAAGAAUAUUAUAGAUAGAAAUGUCAAGUCAUAUGUCUUGAUCAUUCUAUCUCUAGGCUGACAGCUCAGUCAUCUCUAGAUGAGCCAUUCAUUGGUAACUCAAUAUGGUCUCAUUCUGAGUUUCACAUGAACUGUGCUAAAAAAAAAAAAUGCAGAUAAAACCUUUCACUGUUCAGUAAGUGAAUUGGCCAGGGGGUCCUUGUUUCUUAUCUUAGUCCAUUUUCUGCUGCUAUAACAGAAUAACCUCAGAUGGGAUAAUUGAUAAAGAAUAGAAAUGUAUUUCUCACAGUUCCAGAGGUUGGGAAGUCCAAGGUCAAGGGGCCCAGAUCCGGUGAGGGUCUUGUUACUGUCAUAGCAUGGUGGAAGGGCCAGAGAGAAAGUUGGAGAGAGAGAAUGGAACUCACAGCCCCCAGCCCUUUUAUAAUCCACAUUAAUCCAUUCAUGAGGAUGGAACCCUCGUGAUCUAAACACCUCCCAUGAGGCCCCACCUCCUAACACUGUGGCAUCAGGGAUUGCAUUUCCAGCACAUGCUUUUUGGGGAGCACAUUCAAACCAUAGCAUCCCUGCAUCUCUCUGACAUAGCAAAUGUGUGUCAUUGGCCCAGCAGGCCUUCUGUCUGUGGGCCCCCUUGCUCAAACCUCAACUCUGGUCUCCUGACCACACUGUUAGUGUAGAGAAAGACAGGACGUUUGGAGCUUGCAUAGUCCAGAAGUCAAGAAGCGGUUGCUGUCACCUGCCUGCAACCCAUCCUUACGAACUGACUCUAUCUCCUUCCCCUUGCUUUUCCCUGUGUGUUUUAAAUUAAUUUAAUAAACUGUGUGAGGCCGGGUGUGGUGGCUCAUGCCUGUAAUCCAAGCACUCUGGGAGGCUGAGACAGGUGGAUCACCUGAGGUCAGGGAUUCAAGACCAGCCUGGCCAACAUGGUGAAACCCUGUCUCUACAAAAAUACAAAAAUUAGCCAGGCAUGAUGUGGGUGCCUGUAAUCCCAGCUACUCAGGAGGCUGAGGCGGGAGAAUCACUGGAACUCAGAGGCAGAGGUUGCAGUGAGCCGAGAUCGUGCCAUUGCACUCCAGCCUGGGUGGCAGA
rnacentral:lncRNA from 10 species